GACGAAGGGGGCUAGCGUUGUUCGGAAUUAUUGGGCGUAAAGGGCGCGUAGGCGGCUUGGCAAGUGGAAGGUGAAAUCCCUCGGCUUAACCGAGGAACUGCCUUCCAGACUGCUAGGCUUGAGACCGGGAGAGGUGAGUGGAAUUCCCAGUGUAGCGGUGAAAUGCGUAGAUAUUGGGAGGAACACCAGUGGCGAAGGCGGCUCACUGGACCGGUACUGACGCUGAUGCGCGAAAGCGUGGGGAGCAAACGGG
rnacentral:rRNA from 1 species